rnacentral:lncRNA from 1 species
AAGACAAGAAGACAGUGAUUCUGAUUCUGAUGACGAUAGCAAAGACGAAAAUUUAUCGUCUCAAGGUUCAACUACAUUUCAUAUGAAGCCUCUGUUUAAAAACGAUCAUAUUGGACCUUGGCUGAAAGCAUCAAAGGGAAAGAAAAAUGGGCGCAUUCUGGGAUUUAGAGUUGGCAAUGACUCUAUGUUAUCAAAUAAGAGGAGAAAGAAAAUGAGCAAUGAGG